rnacentral:misc_RNA from 1 species
GAGUCUUUUAUUUUGAGAACGAGUUUGUCCAAUGAGCGCCUGUAGAAAAUUAUACUUGGGAACCACCAGUCUCGUUUCAAGACAGACGGAAGCGGUCAAUCAAAGCAAAGUAAACGCAACGAUUGGGAAGGUGGCAUCGUGGUCAAUGAAUGACAUUGUGGCUGGCUGUGUUUCUAAGAAGGAAAAGGGUGGAGCCGAAGAAAUAAUGGCUGUCUUUCAGAGUCAAACCAGCUCUGAGUGAAAAGUUUCGUGCAGAUCUAGAUCUUUGUCUUCAAAAUGGCUGUAGAGGGAAGUGGAGACGUGAAUGUAUUUCUUUCUUCCUCGCUCAUGGGCUGUGGUUCGCAGAGGGAACCCCAAACAACAGCAGCGGCUACGACAUCUUCUUUGUUGACGUUUGCAGACAUGGUUCUUGCAUUGGACCAUAAGAGCACUGGCGAUUCGUUUGAACCCAAAUCGCUUCUCUUAGAUGGAUCUUCUGAAAGUGACCACACUUAUGCUUCGAAUAUUUCCAGGGUGACAACGAGAUCGAGAUCGCAAACCCCAGCUCAAAGAAUUGUGGCUGGAUUAGAAUUGCAGAUUGGAAACUCGGUCUCCAAGUUAAAACAAUGCCAUAUUAUGAGUGAUAGCGAGAGUCAUUCUCAUAGUCAUAGACCAUCGAAGGAAGUAAGUGACACCGAGAAGAGAAACAAUGAUUCUUCAAGAGUCAAAAGAAGUUCAUCGGUUGAAAAUAUUCAAUGUAAUUCUGGUCCAAGUACUGUCUCAACAUCCUCUGAGUGGCCUCAAGUUAUUUUGAAAAGUUCACCCCGAAAGUCUUGUUCUUUUGAGGAAUUUAGUAUCGAUCAUCAAUUUGCAAUGAAAUCGUCAAAAUCCUCUGAGAAUAUCCAAAGACCUGCUGUGUCACAUCAGCUUCAUCGAGUCGUGAAUGACACCCUGGAAUUCCCAUGCUGGCCUCGAAAAGCUGAUCAUACGUACGCCACUGCCACAUGGGAUGGCACUGCUGCUAGUCACAGUUUAUUUGAACAAGAAUUGAGACAAGAAGCUGAUAAACCAAGUCAGCAGGUGCAGGAAGAUCAAGAAAUGGAAUUUAUGGAGCCAGGUGCUCAGUGGAACAUGUGGGUCUCGAAACAAGAGGGUCGGUUGUCGUCAACAGAGACCGCACAGUGUGCCCCAUUGGCCUACCCUGCUACUGUCCUAAGUCAAAGGGAUGAUCACACCUAUGUCAAAUUUAAAGCGUUAAGCUCUCAGUCUCCUGUGCUGGGUCAGGAAAGUCAUGGUAACAAAAUAAUGCUGGAAGAGACCAGUACCUCUGUGAAACACGAUUUCUCUUCUGCAACGUUUCCCAGACAGAAAAUGCGAGAUGAUCACACCUAUUUUCACAGUGGGCUGAGUAAAAAAGGGGGCAUUGGGUCGGGAGGCAGGGAAUGGGCUAGUGUGCACACUGUGAUGGAUAUCUCAGGCCCCCAGGCUAGUCAGAUGGAGGAACAGAUUCCAAGUUUGCAUUCCUUCUCCAGAGCAUCGGCUAAAAAGGACCACAAUUAUUCGACUUCAGCAUGACCAUCAGUUGCAGCUUCAAUGCUUCGUAUAAAUUCCUGUUACCAGCUGUUGCCCUUUGCGUCUUUCAUUGCUUGUGAUGAGCUUCGAAGAGAGGAGAGAUGACCAAAAAGAACCAGAGCUGCCCACACUUGACCGCUUUUAUACAUAUACCUGGUCAACAUAUUCUCAAAGACAAAAGCUGCUGAGAACGGAAGAACUGCCGAUGUGCCCAGACUUGUCUCAUCUCUUAUCUGUAUAGAGAGCUAAAGACAGAUCAUUCUUCAGCAACAGCAGAGCUGUAAUCUUGAAUGCUCAGCAUAGCUCUGUGUGUUGCCAGUGGAAAAAUACACACAUCAGUCUCAUCUCAUUCUUGAGUUAGUGUGUGAGUGAGUGAUAUAUUUUGAGUUGCACACGCUGCUUACAAUCACUCAGUCAGGACUCAGUUUUGUCAAAAUUUCUGUUUUCUGUCAUAUUGCUUGAGGUCAAGAAAUAGUUUGCAUUUUGUUGGAGCUACUAGUGUCGCCUUUUUUUUUUUAAAUUGUGUACACACGUAUCUUCUAGAUUUUAUGUCUUCUAUGUCGUUGAUUUAACAUUGUAUAGUUGAUCAUUCAGUGAGUAAAGUAAACAACAUAAAUCUACUUCAAGUUCAAUCCAUGAUGCUGGUUUACAAUAAAAUUUAUAUAAAUUGUAAACCAGCAUCGUGGAUUAUAUUAUAACACUUUCAGUACUGAGCAAUUCAAGAACUACUACACAUAUUUCUUCCCCGAAGCUGAGAGUUUUUAAGCAGAAUUUUGGCUCAGAAGUUAUUGUAUGCCGUAACAUUUGGCUUCAUUGCUACUGACUCCAUUUGUUAACACUAGCAUUAUAGCUUUCUUAUUUAUUGUCAUACAAAAUUGGAGAAUGCAUUUUGUUCUCAAAUGCUUGAACAGAAUGUGAGUAACCCUAACUAGUGACCAUUUUUCAUUCAUUUGAGAGUCGUGUGUCAGUACUAAACAGUACCACUGUGCACAGUCUGUACUGCAUUCUCAUCAUAUUCACGUAAGCAAUCCCUUUGACUUUAAACAACAGUGUAUUUUAUAGUAGAAUGAUAGUGCACAGUUCAUGUGGAACUUUAUUGGAGGACUCGUUUUUACAAUGCAUACCCAUGAGUUAAAAUUGAAGCAGAAAAUUAACAAAAAUAAUAUUGUUGCAAAAUUCUCUUUUCACUUUCUUAGAAGAACAACGCUGUUUCGUUGCUUGGAUUUUAUCAUUUUCAGUUACUGUAAAACUUUAUUGUUAGCCUUUUGGUUCUAAGGAAGUCAAAACGGGCUCUUGUAAUGUUUUGACAGUUUCUGGACUAUAGUAAGUCAAUGAAUCUUUACAGUUUUGCUGUAAAACUCUUCAUUUCAAUGAAUAUUAAGGAUUUAGAUGUGGUUCUUAGUGAAUUAAAAUACAAUGAAGCAAGUGGAAAAUGAUAGAAAUAAAUUUCUGGUAUACACCCUUUCUUUUUGCAUGCUAAAUUUUUGGCAGUGACUCAUUAGUUUUGCACACUUAUAGCUGAGACAGAGAUGCUGCAGAGAAUGUGAUUCCUGUACAGUAUUCCUCUUGUACAAUAACGCUAAUUGUAGCCGUAAUAUGACAAAGUGUUUUAGGGCUGAAAUGCAGUGAUUCAAAGUAAUUCUUUUGGCUUUAUGUGGGUUACACCUUAUUCAGGAGCAUGAUGAUCAUAUUAUUAUAAUUUCAUCAGGUCAAGUUCCUUUGGUGGUUUUUCUUCUUGUGCCAUAAUAAUGCCGCAUUUCCAUUUUUGAAACCUGCUGUGAUGGGAAUGGAUUUAAUUACCCAAGUUGCAAUGAUGACGGUAGAAUUUUCUAAGACUAAGACGGUGUAUCACGCACUUUAUAUAGGAAACAGAAGGAUGUUGAAAAUGUUCGUCUUGUACGACUUUUGCUAUGGUACAUGAUACAUCAUGUAGAAAAAAUACAAAUGUACACGUACAUGAAUAUUAAGAAACAAACUUCAGGAACUGGAAAUUUGUUCGCAUGAUUUGAUGAUGAUUGUGCGUUGUGCAUGCUAGACUGUAUUAUUAUCAAACAGCAAGGUCUAGUGAAUUUUUGUACUCGCUCUUGACUGCAACCUUUCAACAAAAAUGAUAAGAAAUGAAUGGCUCCUUCUUUUGUUGUAAUAUCUCACUCUGAGACAUCUUCAAUGGAGUCAAGGUUUUCCAUGUAUCUUAUACUGGCGUCUGUGGUGUAGUGAUUAGGCACUUUGCUAUUUUGCAUCUAGGAAACUGAGUUCGAUUCCAAGUGAGCAGAAUUUUUAUCGAACUCGUACUAUAGUCUUUCCGCUAGGAUGUUGUACCCGUCUUAGCUCGGGUUGGCCCCGACAGGCGUGGUCGAAGUCUGCCUCCUUUGUUCUAAAAUGUAUCAAUGGGGGCGUAAAACACAUACCUAUCAACUACAUUUUGUGUAACUUAUACUUAUAUGUAGUACAUGUAAACGUUAAAACAUCAGUGAAUGUGUGGAUGGACAAUUUAUUUCAAUGUCUUUCAUUCAUGUGCGAACAGUUUAUGUUUUUUGCAUUGUCAAAUUGGUGUGUACUUUUAUUAAGUUUUUAAUUUUUAUUCAUGAUCUUUUUGACAAAACAAUUUUUUUUUGUGAAAAAGAAUCAGACCUUACACACAAGUUAUUGUUUAUUGAAUUAGGGUUGUUUCACUUUGCCUGUGUACGGUACGUGGGAAUUUCAGUGAGUCAAUAGCCUACCAUUUUUCUUCUUCUUUUUUUUUAUUUCAUUCUUUCUCAGAAUGGACUAAGUCUGGCUUCAGGAUAAUUUCUUCCUUUGCCCUUCAACUCACCUUAGCCUGACAGUUUCAAGGGAUGAAGAAUUGAGAUUUAGAUCUAUUAAGUUUUGACUGGUCUUUGAAACUGCUUCUUUUUAGUUAUAAAGUUCUAUUCUUGUUUAGUUUGUCUUGUGUGUGUUUUUUAUUUUAUUAUUAUCAUGUGUAAUCACAAUAAUUUCUUGGCAGAGUAUUUGAAUGACUUUAAUUUGAACAAUUUUUUAUUUUUUUUGUCAUGUGCGAUUGUUGAUGAUGUUACAAAGGCAACAACAGAGUUCCUACAAUAGUCAGCAGAGAUCACGUUGCCGACACUUUUUAUUGGGAUCCUCAGACAUUGUGCCAUUCACGUUCUAUUUAAGUUUACCAGGUAUUUAUCUCAUUUCAUACUCAACUGACGUAUUCCAGUGGCUUCUUUGUGACCAACUCGCCCCUCCCAUACCCAAAUUGAUGUACCGGUACGUGUUAAUGGUGUAAUCCUGUGCUCAUGUAGACUAAAGCAUUUUGUAUGUUGUGAUGCGCAUGCUGUUUGGAAAUGUACUAUUUUGCAGUUUACAAAGACAUUAUUGGGUCUGAGGUUUCCAUACAUUUUCUAGGCAAAAUUGCAACACGAUUUGUGUUGAUUACGAUGGCACUACGGAAUAAAACAGUUGAAAAAGUGACUGAGAAUGGAGAAAAGAUUCUGUUUAAAUGCAUAAAACAAAUAGUAUUCUUCUUCCAUCUAAAGCAAACGGCCGUUCUGUAGAGGUGCGUGUGGACUGAAAAGGCUAUGCAUGUUCAUAAUAAUUAACUUGUUGUAAGUGUAACAUGAAUUUAUUUCGGUUGAGAUUAAGAGAGCAUCAAACUUUGCUUGUUAUGUUGUGAUGUUUAUGUGAAAUGGAUUCAUCAGGCCCCCAGCUUGACACGUUUCUGUUUGCGGUCUGCACUUUAUGUAUUGUAAAAAUGAUUUAUAUUGUGUUUUUUUACCACAAGGAGUGUAUUAUUAUUAAUUAUUACAUUCCCCAUACAAACGACUUUUGAAA